rnacentral:rRNA from 1 species
GACGAACGCUGGCGGCGUGCUUAACACAUGCAAGUCGAACGGAAAGGCCCUGCUUUUGUGGGGUGCUCGAGUGGCGAACGGGUGAGUAACACGUGAGUAACCUGCCCUUGACUUUGGGAUAACUUCAGGAAACUGGGGCUAAUACCGGAUAGGAGCUCCUGCUGCAUGGUGGGGGUGGGAAAGUUUCGGCGGUUGGGGAUGGACUCGCGGCUUAUCAGCUUGUUGGUGAGGUAGUGGCUUACCAAGGCAUUGACGGGUAGCCGGCCUGAGAGGGUGACCGGCCACAUUGGGACUGAGAUACGGCCCAGACUCCUACGGGAGGCAGCAGUGGGGAAUAUUGCACAAUGGGCGGAAGCCUGAUGCAGCAACGCCGCGUGCGGGAUGACGGCCUUCGGGUUGUAAACCGCUUUCGCCUGUGACGAAGCGUGAGUGACGGUAAUGGGUAAAGAAGCACCGGCUAACUACGUG